rnacentral:rRNA from 1 species
AGGCUUUGAUCCUGGCUCAGGAUGAACGCUAGCGGCAGGCUUAAUACAUGCAAGUCGAACGGUAACAGGCAGUAGCAAUACUGUGCUGACGAGUGGCGCACGGGUGCGUAACACGUAUGCAACCUACCCUUAACUGGGGCAUAACCCGGCGAAAGCCAGGCUAAUUCCCCAUAGUAUUGCGAUAAGGCAUCUUAUUGCAAUUAAAGAUUUAUCGGUUAAGGAUGGGCAUGCGCCCCAUUAGUUAGUUGGUAAGGUAACGGCUUACCAAGACGAUGAUGGGUAGGGGUUCUGAGAGGAUUAUCCCCCACACUGGUACUGAGACACGGACCAGACUCUACGGGAGGCAGCAGUAAGGAAUAUUGGGCAAUGGGCGCGAGCCUGACCCAGCCAUGCCGCGUGCAGGAAGACGGCCUUAUGGGUUGUAAACUGCUUUUAUAUGGGAAUAACCUAUCCCACGUGUGGGGUACUGUAUGUAC